UUUUUUUGUUAUUGCUGUCUUUACCAAAAUUGAGCUGGGACUGGGAAUACUUAUGGCCCAUUGAAACUCCAUCUUCUGUCAAAGGUGCAAAAAGGUGAGACUUCUGAUCUCCAUCUUUUAAUUUUGCUAGUAAAGGAGGAGUACCAAGAGGAUCCUGGUCAAUAAGAGAAACAUCUUUCAGAACAAAUUCUUCCUGUGCCAAUUUCUGAAAAUAUGACCAGUGCUUAGGCUCAUGAUUUUCCAUGAUCACACUCAUGCCAGCUCCAUCUUUGUGCAUUGGACUAACACCUGCCCUAUCCUCAGUAAGUAUCCCUCGGGAGAAUAUUUCAGAAAGAAAAUCACGAGGAAAUCUGUCAUUAAUAUCUAUACUGAUGUCUGCCUGUUUUGUUGCUGAAAUACCAACAGGGGGUAUUACUUGAGAAAUAUCAUUAGUUGAGCUCUCUGUCCGAGAAAAUAGCUGAGAAUGUCCAAGAUUGUUACUAGCAAAAUCCUUGCCUGUUAUCUCACUCAGUUUAGGCUCUGCAAGAUCAGUCACAGGAUCCUUGUGGUGCACAAGAGAAGUUACUUGGGAUGCAGCAGGAUUUCCAGAUCUAGAUUCUCUGGUUUCUUCAAUCGGGAGUUUUUUCUGUUUACCUGCAGUGUGAUCAUGGUCAGCCUUAAGCAUAGCAUCUCUGUUUGCAGAAUCUUUAUUAUCCACAUCAUUUGCAACUGCUAGCUUGAACCCACUCUGCAAAACAUCUUGAGAAUCCAAAAGCGUCUUGUUCAUCUGAGAAACUGCAUCUGCAAACUCCUUGUACUUCUGGAGUUGGGCAAGCCCAUCAUUGAUUUGUUGAGGAUCUAUAUGCAAUGGUUUUGCAGUUGGCAUGGGGUGUUCAGUAUGGAGAUCCAGAUUACUUUGAAUAAAGUUUUCAGCAGAUUCUGUAAUAGACUUAUGUUCGGUAAUAUCAGAAUGAGAAUGAGAAAUAAGAAACAGAGAACCAUGUGAAUCAUCAGAUUUUGAUAACCUAUUCAUCUGCUCUGCUUGUUCCCUGGGUAUCCUUUCUGAAUAAUAAACUCUCUGUGGAGGUACAGAUGGUUCAUAGUAGCUAAAGUCUAUCAAAUUAGAAACAGAAUCAGCACCACUCAGACCAAAUGUAC
rnacentral:misc_RNA from 1 species